rnacentral:misc_RNA from 1 species
GAUGAAGAACGUAGCGAAAUGCGAUAAGUAAUGUGAAUUGCAGAAUUCAGUGAAUCAUCGAAUCUUUGAACGCAUCUUGCGCUCCUUGGUAUUCUGAGGAGCAAGCCUGUUUGAGUGUCAUUAAAUUCUCAACUACACUGACUUUGAAUUGGUGUGGCUUGGAUUUGGGGGGAAAAUUGUUGUGGGCUUUUUGUAUAGUCUGCUCCCCUGAAAUUGAUUAGCGGUACCUUUGUGGAACUGUCUACAGGUGUGAUAAUUAUCUACAUCUUAGACAUCUGCUGGAAUGCUGCUUUCUAAACCUUACUUGUAUUGACAAUCUUGACCUCAAAUCAGGUAGGACUACCCGCUGAACUUAAGCAUAUCAAUAAGCGGAGGA